UACGUAGGGGGCGAGCGUUGUCCGGAUUUAUUGGGCGUAAAGAGCUCGUAGGCGGUUUGGUAAGUCGGGUGUGAAAUCUCCACGCUCAACGUGGAGGGGCCACUCGAUACUGCCAUGACUCGAGUCCGGUAGAGGAGUGUGGAAUUCCUGGUGUAGCGGUGAAAUGCGCAGAUAUCAGGAAGAACACCCGUGGCGAAGGCGGCUCUCUGGGACGGUACUGACGCUGAGACGCGAAAGCGUGGGGAGCGAACAGG
rnacentral:rRNA from 1 species